GCCCCCGUAGCUCAGGGGAUAGAGCAUCGGCCUCCGGAGCCGUGUGCGUAGGUUCGAAUCCUACCGGGGGCACCA
rnacentral:tRNA from 2 species